GAUGAAGAACGUAGCGAAAUGCGAUACGUAAUGUGAAUUGCAGAAUUCAGUGAAUCAUCGAGUCUUUGAACGCACAUUGCGCCCCCUGCUAUUCCGGGGGGCAUGCCUGUCCGAGCGUCAUUGCUGCCCUCAAGCACGGCUUGUGUGUUGGGCCCCGUCCUCCGAUUCCGGGGGACGGGCCCGAAAGGCAGCGGCGGCACCGCGUCCGGUCCUCGAGCGUAUGGGGCUUUGUCACCCGCUCUGUAGGCCCGGCCGGCGCUUGCCGAUCAACCCAAAUUUUUAUCCAGGUUGACCUCGGAUCAGGUAGGGAUACCCGCUGAACUUAAGCAUAUCAAUAAGCGGAGGA
rnacentral:misc_RNA from 1 species